rnacentral:tRNA from 1 species
CGGGGCGUAGCUCAGUGGUUAGAGCGCAGGCUUGGGGGGCUUGAGGUCGGCGGUUCAAGUCCGCUCGCCCCGACCA